rnacentral:rRNA from 1 species
CGAAAGCCUGACGGAGCAAGACCGCGUGGGGGAUGAAGGCUCUUGGGUUGUAAACCCCUUUUCUCAGGGAAGAAGUUCUGACGGUACCUGAGGAAUCAGCAUCGGCUAACUCCGUGCCAGCAGCCGCGGUAAGUCGGAGGAUGCAAGCGUUAUCCGGAAUUAUUGGGCGUAAAGCGUUCGUAGGUGGCUGUUCAAGUCUGCCGUUAAAGACCGGGGCUUAACUCCGGAAAAACUGUGGAAACUGAACAGCUAGAGUAGGGUAGGGGUAAGGGGAAUUCCCGGUGUAGCGGUGAAAUGCGUAGAUAUCGGGAAGAACACCGGUGGCGAAGGCGCCUUACUGGACCCUAACUGACACUGAGGGACGAAAGCUAGGGGAGCG